GGGGAAUAUUGCGCAAUGGGGGCAACCCUGACGCAGCCAUGCCGCGUGAAUGAAGAAGGCCUUCGGGUUGUAAAGUUCUUUCGGUAUUGAGGAAGGUUGAUGUAUUAAUAGUACAUCAAAUUGACGUUAAAUACAGAAGAAGCACCGGCUAACUCCGUGCCAGCAGCCGCGGUAAUACGGAGGGUGCGAGCGUUAAUCGGAAUAACUGGGCGUAAAGGGCACGCAGGCGGUUAUUUAAGUGAGGUGUGAAAGCCCCGGGCUUAACCUGGGAAUUGCAUUUCAGACUGGGUAACUAGAGUACUUUAGGGAGGGGUAGAAUUCCACGUGUAGCGGUGAAAUGCGUAGAGAUGUGGGGGAAUACCGAAGGCGAAGGCAGCCCCUUGGGAAUGUACUGACGCUCAUGUGCGAAAGCGUGGGGAGCAAACAGGAUUAGAUACCCUGGUAGUCCACGCUGUAAACGCUGUCGAUUUGGGGGUUGGGGUUUAACUCUGGCGCCCGUAGCUAACGUGAUAAAUCGACCGCCUGGGGAGUACGGCCGCAAGGUUA
rnacentral:rRNA from 1 species